GCAACCCUCCCCCCUCUCCCCCAUCCACCCGCUGCACCUCCGCCUAUCUCACCGAUCAGCGCAACCAACGACGACGAUCUCCUCCGUGCCACCCCUCCGCUCAUCGCACCGAUUUGCGCCGCCGCCGCCAACGAUCUCCUCCAUGCCACCACCUAUCCAAGCCGUCGGAACACCGGCCCACACCUUCGCCGCCACCUAUCUCCACCUGGCCGCCUGCCUCUGCGUCGCCAGUUCAUCGUCGGCCAAAGUCGCCGGGCUCGUCGUCGCCAAGCCGGUCAAGCCCGCUGCCUCCUCUACCAACGUGCUGCUACGCAUCAAGCGCCACCGCGGCCAAUCUAAAUCCCAUCCGCCACCAAUAGGAGAGUGUUUGAGCUGCAACUAAUUCUUGAAGUACGGUGAUUCUCAGACCAUGGAGCUAAACUAAUAAAGAACCGAACUCUAAUUGUCGAUACUGUGCUAAAUUUGUUCCAAAUCAAAAUUAGAUCUUCCCCAUCACCACCACUCUCAUCAGUCUCGUCCUGCUCUCUGCUCUCUCCAAGGUGAGUAUUGGAAACCUUGUCCUAUGGUUAUUUCAGAAAUGGAGAAUUUCGCUCAGCUGAUGAAUUAUCCCUUGAUCAUGGCCAUUAUAAAUGAAAUAAAUACUUAAUUGCACUAUCUACAUUAUAUAGCUUCUACAAUUGGAUUAUGUUUUUCUGAAUUUCCAUUAUGACAAAAAUGGUAUGCCAGUAUAAGGGUAUGUAUAAAGGUAGAGUCUAAUAUGAGUUCUCUAUAUUAAUUAAUGGCACUAGAGAUUAUCGUCCUACAAUAGUAGAGACAAUAAGAUUUCUAAACCAUUAAUGCACUAAAUAUUUUUUUAGUAUACUUCUUUUCUUUUCUACACCCACAUGCAACAAACUUUUUCUACACCCACAUGCAACAAACUUUCCAUUAAUAAGUGUUAAGAGUCGACUCUGAGCUGUUAUCAUACGUAGCAACGUUGUUUCUCAUUCCUUCCCUCUCUUUCUUCCACGUCACCAAAUUUACUUGCAUAAUAACGAAGAGAGCCCGUUAUUAGACACCAUUGUACGUGCCCUAGCUAAAUGCUUUCUGUUUCAGUAGAAGAAACAGAUAAUGAUUAGGAUGGGUGCAAUGGUUAUGUGUGCUUUUUGCUAAACGUCUGAGGGUUGCAACAAUAGCAAUUCUUGGCUCAUACUUUUUCCCCACAAUAUACCAAACUG